rnacentral:rRNA from 1 species
UACGUAGGGUGCAAGCGUUGUCCGGAAUUAUUGGGCGUAAAGAGCUCGUAGGCGGUUUGUCGCGUCUGCUGUGAAAACUCGGGGCUUAACCCCGGGCCUGCAGUGGGUACGGGCAGACUAGAGUGCGGUAGGGGAGACUGGAAUUCCUGGUGUAGCGGUGAAAUGCGCAGAUAUCAGGAGGAACACCGGUGGCGAAGGCGGCUUCCUGGACCGACACUGACGCUGAGGCGCGAAAGCUAGGGGAGCAAACGGG